GACGAAAGAUGGCGGCGUGCUUAACACAUGCAAGUCGAACGGAAAGGCCCUGCUUUUGUGGGGUGCUCGAGUGGCGAACGGGUGAGUAACACGUGAGUAACCUGCCCUUGACUUUGGGAUAACUUCAGGAAACUGGGGCUAAUACCGGAUAGGAGCUCCUGCUGCAUGGUGGGGGUUGGAAAGUUUCGGCGGUUGGGGAUGGACUCGCGGCUUAUCAGCUUGUUGGUGGGGUAGUGGCUUACCAAGGCUUUGACGGGUAGCCGGCCUGAGAGGGUGACCGGCCACAUUGGGACUGAGAUACGGCCCAGACUCCUACGGGAGGCAGCAGUGGGGAAUAUUGCACAAUGGGCGGAAGCCUGAUGCAGCAACGCCGCGUGCGGGAUGACGGCCUUCGGGUUGUAAACCGCUUUCGCCUGUGACGAAGCGUGAGUGACGGUAAUGGGUAAAGAAGCACCGGCUAACUACGUG
rnacentral:rRNA from 1 species